rnacentral:rRNA from 1 species
AUGCCGCCCAAAUCACUUCUAGCACUAGCCCUCCUGGCCAUCCUCAUGCUAUUCUCCCAUGGUGUCACGACCUUGGGAUCGCCACAGCCGCUCAACGGCACCGGCGGAAGUUUCAGCCUCAAGCUCAUCGUCAACCACCAGCCGGCACACUAUGACUUGGCGAGCCUCCAGCGUGCCAAGGACCAAGUAAAAUGCAGGAUCAAGCACCAGAUCCUGCCAACGAGCAAUGAGAUACGGCCGUUCAUGUGCCCACCGGCGGACAUGGUGUACGCCGUCAUGGUGGGCGUCGGAACGCAGACCGGGUUCCAGAACUACCAACUGGCGCUGGACAUGGCGGUUGGACUGUCCUGGAUACAGUGCUGGCCGUGCCGGCCAUGUCGGCCGCAGCUAAGCCCGGUGUUCGACCCAACAAAGUCCCCGACCUUCCAAUACAUCUCGGGGAACAAUGGCGUCUGGUGUCGUGCGCCCUACCGAGCUUUGCCAAACGGGGCUUGCGGGUUCCGCAUUGCCUACCGGCACACCCCCGAGGUUUCGGGGUACCUCGCCAGGGACACCUUCUCCUUCCCCACCAGGAACAAUGACUUCGUGCCACUGGAGGGCAUCUUCUUCGGCUGCGCCCACCAGACUGAGGGCUUCGACACCCACGGCGCCCUCGCGGGUCUCCUCGGCUUGGGAAUAGGAGUGGUGGGCAGGCCUCCGACCGCCUUCACGAAGCAGGUCCUUCCAGGCCAUGGAGGUCGCUUCUCCUACUGCCCGUUCGUGCCCGGGAUGAGCACGUACAGCUACUUUCGGUUUGGCAACGACAUCCCAAGCAAUCCACCGCCAAAUGUGUCACGCCAGAGCACGCCAGUCCUUGCGCCACUCCAGAACAGCGAGGCGUACUACAUCCAGCUCGUCGGGGUCAGCGUCGGCGGCAGCCGAGUGACUCGCGUCACGCACCAUUUCUUUCGGCGCAACGCGCACGGGACGGGCGGGUGCGCGAUCGACAUCGGCACACAGAUGACUGCGUUUGUGCACUCAGCGUACGUCUACAUCGAGGAGGCGGUGCUGCAACACCUGCGGCGCCACGGAGCACACAUCGUGCAGGUGGAAGGCCACACGUGUGUCCGGCAGCCGGCGCCGCACCAAGAUGUUCUCCCGAGCAUGACACUGCAUUUUGUGAACAGAUCGUGGCUCCGGAUCAUGCCAGACCAGGUAUUCAUGAAGCUUGUCCAUGGCGGCCACCAGUACCGGUGCCUUGGCUUUGUCUCGGACAGCGACAGGACGAUCAUCGGCGCCAUGCAACAGAUCAACCAUCGCUUCAUCUUCGACCUCCGUGAUACCACACCCAUCAUGAGCUUUAAUCCGGAGGACUGUCACCUCGAUGCCGCCGGUAGCUAA